UACCGAGAGUUGUAGGCUUCUGUCUACCAUCUCUUACCCAUGUCUUUUGCGUACUAUACGUUUCCUCGGCAGGUCCGCCUGCCGUUAGGACAAACUUAAACCAUUUGCAGUUGCAGUCAGCGUCUGAAAAACUUAAUAAUUACAACUUUCAACAACGGAUCUCUUGGUUCUGGCAUCGAUGAAGAACGCAGCGAAAUGCGAUAAGUAGUGUGAAUUGCAGAAUUCAGUGAAUCAUCGAAUCUUUGAACGCACAUUGCGCCCCUUGGUAUUCCAUGGGGCAUGCCUGUUCGAGCGUCAUUUGUACCUUCAAGCUCUGCUUGGUGUUGGGUGUUUGUCCCGCCUCUGUGCGUGGACUCGCCUUAAAGCAAUUGGCAGCCGGCGUAUAGAUUUCGGAGCGCAGCACAAAACGCGCUUUGUUAGCAAUACGGUGGCAUCCAUCAAGACUUUUUUUAACUCUUGACCUCGGAUCAGGUAGGGAUACCCGCUGAACUUAAGCAUA
rnacentral:rRNA from 1 species